rnacentral:rRNA from 1 species
AUUGAACGCUGGCGGCAUGCCUAACACAUGCAAGUCGAACGGCAGCACAGCAGUAGCAAUACUGUGGGUGGCGAGUGGCGGACGGGUGAGGAAUACGUCGGAAUCUGCCCAGUCGUGGGGGAUAACUAGCCGAAAGGUUAGCUAAUACCGCAUACGACCGAGAGGUGAAAGCGGGGGACCGCAAGGCCUCGCGCGAUUGGAUGAGCCGACGUCGGAUUAGCUAGUUGGCGGGUAAAGGCCCACCAAGGCGACGAUCCGUAGCUGGUCUGAGAGGAUGAUCAGCCACACUGGAACUGAGACACGGUCCAGACUCCUACGGGAGGCAGCAGUGGGGAAUAUUGGACAAUGGGCGCAAGCCUGAUCCAGCAAUGCCGCGUGUGUGAAGAAGGCCUUCGGGUUUGGUAAAGGCACUUUAUCAGACGAAAGACGUUGGAUUAAUACUACUGACGUGCUGACGGUACCUGAGGAAUAAGCACCGGCUAACUU